UAAUAUCUCUCUUCCUUUCUCCUCCAACAUCUCUCUACAGACAACCUUCAAAUUAUAGUCGCCGGUCACUGAUCUUUUCUUUUUUUUGUUUCUGUUUUUUUGUUGUAUUAUAAUCUUCUAUCUCUAAGAUCGAUCUUAUCUUCCGGUUGCGGAUAGUUCUUUUCGCGAUAGGCGAUAUGUUGUGUUAAAGUAUUUUGGUGUGUUAAAAUCCGUUUCUUGCCUUUCUUGAUUUUAUUUUUAUCCUGUUUGAGGGUUCUUAAUCUAUUCGUUAGAUCAGCUUGGCUUCUUACUCAGAUGAGGUAUCAAUCUUGGUUAAAAGAAUAUUAUCGCGGAGUAUCCAAUCGAGUAUGAAAUCAAGAUGAUUGAUCAAGCGAUGGAGAAUCGAUGCAGUUUCAGAUAAGCCGGAGUUCUCUGUUGUAAAAUUCUGGUAAGACUCUGCUUCCAUCUCCUUAAAGCUUCUCACUGGAGUUCAUCUCUUGCGUGUAGAUGAAGAGCCUUAAAACAUCAACAGCGAUCUCAGAAAGGAAGAGCAAAUUUCAACCUAAUCGAAGAAAUGUGUUUGGGUCAUCGGUCCGGCUGUUUCUCCGGUGAUACCUCCGACGUCCUCUUUCGAUUCCAGAUUCGUCUUUUCCACAUGAUGGGACACGUGGUGAUCAUGCAAUCCAAACCUUAUAUUUUUAACACGUGUUUUUUUGUUGUAAAUCUUAUCUUCAGAAUGUGGACAAGAUUUGGGCUGAAUAUGAAUAUGAGACUGAGUUGAGUUGCUUGUAUAUUUGGGUUUGAAGCCCUUUAAUGAAAAGCCGACAAAAAAAAAAAAAUUUCUCUUCGUAGCCAAUAUAAAAAUCUUUAUCAUAAUAUAGAGAAACUCUAGACUCUCAUUCUUUUGAUUUUUUUUUCCAAGCCUAACAC
rnacentral:lncRNA from 1 species